rnacentral:rRNA from 1 species
GGAUGAACGCUAGCGGCAGGCCUAACACAUGCAAGUCGAGGGGUAGAGGAAGCUUGCUUCCUUGAGACCGGCGCACGGGUGCGUAACGCGUAUGCAAUCUACCUUGUACAGAGGGAUAGCCCAGAGAAAUUUGGAUUAAUACCUCAUAGUGUUAUCGAAUCGCAUGGUUUGAUAACUAAAGUUCCAACGGUACAAGAUGAGCAUGCGUCCCAUUAGCUAGUUGGUGUGGUAACGGCAUACCAAGGCAAUGAUGGGUAGGGGUCCUGAGAGGGAGAUCCCCCACACUGGUACCGAGACACGGACCAGACUCCUACGGGAGGCAGCAGUGAGGAAUAUUGGACAAUGGGCGCAAGCCUGAUCCAGCCAUGCCGCGUGCAGGAUGACGGUCCUAUGGAUUGUAAACUGCUUUUAUACAGGAAGAAACCCUACCACGUGUGGUAGAUUGACGGUACUGUAGGAAUAAGGAUCGGCUAACUCCGUGCCAGCAGCCGCGGUAAUACGGAGGAUCCAAGCGUUAUCCGGAAUCAUUGGGUUUAAAGGGUCCGUANGCGGUUUAAUAAGUCAGUGGUGAAAGCCCAUCGCUUAACGAUGGAACGGCCAUUGAUACUGUUAGACUUGAGUUAUUAGAAGUAACUAGAAUAUGUAGUGUAGCGGUGGAAUGCUUAGAUAUUACAUGGAAUACCAAUUGCGAAGGCAGGUUACUACUAAUAUAUUGACGCUGAUGGACGAAAGCGUGGGGAGCGAACAGGAUUAGAUACCCUGGUAGUCCACGCCGUAAACGAUGGAUACUAGCUGUUGGGCGCAAGCUCAGUGGCUAAGCGAAAGUGAUAAGUAUCCCACCUGGGGAGUACGUUCGC